UACCAGCACCCCGAGUGGUCGGGACGUUAUUGGGCCUAAAGCAUCCGUAGCCGGUCUACAAGUCUUCCGUUAAAUCCACCUGCUUAACAGAUGGGCUGCGGAAGAUACUAUAGAGCUAGGAGGCGGGAGAGGCAAGCGGUACUCGAUGGGUAGGGGUAAAAUCCGUUGAUCCAUUGAAGACCACCAGUGGCGAAGGCGGCUUGCCAGAACGCGCUCGGACGGUGAGGGAUGAAAGCUGGGGGAGCAAACGGGG
rnacentral:rRNA from 1 species